rnacentral:rRNA from 1 species
CACGUAGGGGGCGAGCGUUGUCCGGAAUUACUGGGCGUAAAGGGCGCGCAGGCUGUUAUGCGAGUCUGCUGUGAAAUGUACCGGCUCAACCGGUGCCUUGCGGCGGAUACUGCAUAGCUGGAGUACUGGAGAGGGAAGUGGAAUUCCCGGUGUAGCGGUAGAAAUGCGUAGAUAUCGGGAGGAACACCGGUUGCGAAGGCGGCUUUCUGGCCAGUUACUGACGCUCAUGCGCGAAAGCUGGGGUAGCGAACCGGAUUAGAUACCCGGGUAGU